rnacentral:piRNA from 1 species
UCCCACCACGACAAGCUGUUUCCCCUAGA